GACGAACACUGGCGGCGUGCCUAAUACAUGCAAGUUGAGCGAUGAAGAUUGGUGCUUGCACCAAUUUGAAGAGCAGCGAACGGGUGAGUAACGCGUGGGGAAUCUGCCUUUGAGCGGGGGACAACAUUUGGAAACGAAUGCUAAUACCGCAUAACAACUUUAAACAUAAGUUUUAAGUUUGAAAGAUGCAAUUGCAUCACUCAAAGAUGAUCCCGCGUUGUAUUAGCUAGUUGGUGAGGUAAAGGCUCACCAAGGCGAUGAUACAUAGCCGACCUGAGAGGGUGAUCGGCCACAUUGGGACUGAGACACGGCCCAAACUCCUACGGGAGGCAGCAGUAGGGAAUCGUCGGCAAUGGACGAAAGUCUGACCGAGCAACGCCGCGUGAGUGAAGAAGGUUUUCGGAUCGUAAAACUCUGUUGGUAGAGAAGAACGUUGGUGAGAGUGGAAAGCUCAUCAAGUGACGGUAACUACCCAGAAAGGGACGGCUAACUACGUG
rnacentral:rRNA from 1 species